GACAGAGGAUGCAAGCGUUAUCCGGAAUGAUUGGGCGUAAAGCGUCUGUAGGUGGCUUUUUAAGUCCACCGUCAAAUCCCAGGGCUCAACCCUGGACAGGCGGUGGAAACUACCAAGCUGGAGUACGGUAGGGGCAGAGGGAAUUUCCGGUGGAGCGGUGAAAUGCGCAGAUAUCGGGAGGAACACCGAUGGCGAAGGCAGGUCUCUGGGCCACUACUGACGCUGAGAAGCGAAAGCAUGGGGAGCGAACAGG
rnacentral:rRNA from 1 species